AAGCCAGCUAUGGCAGGAUGUUGGGCCCCUGAUAGCUCCUGAGACACUGGCCCUGUCUAGGCAUAGAUUCAUUAGACGUGGACCCAAACCAGUAGAAAAAGCCUUUAUUUAAGGACUGAGCAAGUCUUUGCAACCUAGGGGUGCAGGUGAACAGGAUAAAGGAAACAUUUUAGAGUAAGAUUUCAGGGGACUGAAGAAACACUGACAUUCAGGAAAAGCAGAAGAGAUUCUUACAAGUUCAGUGCCCACAUCAUAAGGAAAAAAUUCUCUGAAGACCAGGAUGGGAUUCAAGGGUGUUAUGUUGAAUAGAGGCAUGCAAAGGAAGUACUUAACGUGCAGGCCAGGACCAGAGACGGUGCACUAGGUAGAGUGCGGCAUCCAGCAAAAGUAUUUCAAGGUUGAAUUUUAUUUGCGUAUUGAAAUGCUACUGCUUUUUGUAUGAUGAUUUUGGAACAAAACAGAGAACCCCAAAAUAAAGCUUCACAUCUACAACCAACUGAUAUUUGAUGAAGUCUACAAAAGUAAACAAUGAGGAAAGAACACUUUAUUCAAUAAAUGGUGCUAGGAAAUCUGGCUAGCCAUAUGCAGAAGAAUGAAAUUCAACCCCUACCUGUCACCACGUAAAAAAAUUAACUCAAGAUGGAUUAAAGACUCAAAUGUAAGAUCUCAAACUAAAAAUCCUGGAAGAAAACCUAGGCAGUGCUCUUCUGGACAUCGGCCUAGGCAAAGAAUUUAUGAUUAAGUCCUCAAAAACAAAUGCAAAAAAAAAAAACACAAAAAUUGACAAUUAGAACCCAAUUAAACUAAAGAGCUUCUGCACAGCAAAAGAAACUAUCAACAGAAUAAACAGACAACUUACAGAAUGGGGAAAAAUAUUUACAAACU
rnacentral:lncRNA from 1 species